UUUCAGAAGGAGUCUUGCUUUUGUUGCCCAGGCUGGAGGCAUGAAGUUUGGAGGUACUUAUAUACAGCCUUUCACAGAAUGUCAAAGAAGUGUCAUAAGUAUUCUGAAGCUCUUCAUAUGCCGUGCCGCUAUCAAUAUGGCUCAUAUCUACUUUUAUAACUCUGCCAAACACAUUGAAAGGCAAUUUAACUUCCAAGUUUAAGUGUUCUAGGACAACUCCAACAUCUCUUCAGAGUUGACAGUAAGCUUGGCUAAUGUUAGAAACAAAAGUCCCCAGUAAGUCAGCCAUAUCUGCAUGGACAAAGCAGUCCUGAGUGCUGCUAAAUUAGCUAAGAAAACUUUUCAACACUCAUGUCUUACUAAGUCUGUUUCAUUCAGAACAUUCUAUACACGUCUUUAGC
rnacentral:antisense_RNA from 1 species